UACGAAGGGGACUAGCGUUGUUCGGAAUCACUGGGCGUAAAGCGCACGUAGGCGGAUGUGUCAGUCAGGGGUGAAAUCCCGGGGCUCAACCUCGGAACUGCCUUUGAUACAGCACGUCUCGAGUCCGGAAGAGGUGGGUGGAAUUCCUAGUGUAGAGGUGAAAUUCGUAGAUAUUAGGAAGAACACCGGUGGCGAAGGCGGCCCACUGGUCCGGUACUGACGCUGUAGAGCGAAAGCGUGGGGAGCGAACAGG
rnacentral:rRNA from 1 species